CCUGGAGAAAGGCGGAAGGAAUGCGGAUCUUUCUGAAGUGACAGCCUUUACAGCCUAUCAGAGGUAGCGUUAGGAAGGCGGGGCGGAAGACUGGAAGAAUGAAACAGAUUGAAGGAAUGUGUAGCCAAUAAAAGACUUGAUUCCGUCCCUACCCUAGGACCAGGGGAUCUGUCGGAGGAGGGAAAAGUUACUACGUCCAGGUGAUGUUAUGCUGCUUACCGUCCGGAUGACAUCAUAGCCUCAUGGAGCUGAUAGUCUGGGGGCAGGCGAGUCAGACAAGAAGCAAGUGGUCAACCCUGGAAGGCACCCUGGAGGAAGCAGCCUUCCCACUGAGUCCUGAGGCAGGAGUGGACUGUGGCAAGGGGUUGAUAAAAUACCUGGAGCCAGGACAUUUGUAUAGAAUUGGAAGUUGAUUUUCCUCAUAUCUCUGUAGGCCUGGAAGUGCCAGAGCACAGCUUCCGGAUGGAGCCCAGGGCUGCAAGUUGCUGGGCCAGUGCUCUACCAACUGAGGGGAUCGAACUCGGGUCCUUGCGCUUGUGCAGCAGGCAACAAAACCACUGAGCUAAAUCCCCGUCCUUCAUCUCCCCUUCUAACGGAGAAUGGAAGCAGGUUUAGAGACCUCAGAAGGCAAGAGUCUGACUGCAAUUUUUCCCCCAAAUUUUACUAUGGAAAAUUUUAAAUGUUUAGAAAAAUGGAAAGAAUUGUACAGAGAAUAUUUAUAUCCCUCCCGCCAUCCAGGGUUUAACAUUAAAUUUUUGCUUGCUCAUGUAACUAUCUGUCUUUAUUUUGGGGGGGACAAGUUCUCGCUGUGUAAUUCAGGCUGGCCUUUAACUCACUAUGUAGCCCGAGCUGGCUGCCUCAAACUCAUGGCAUCCUCCUGCCUCAGCCUCCCCAGUGCUAGGAUUACAGGUGUGCACCACCACGCCAGGCUCAUACACUUAUCUCCUAUGUGAAUUUAUGACCCACCCCCUUUUAUUUAGUGCUGGGGAAGGAACUCCAGGCCCUUACUACUUUAACCACAUGUUCUAUCAUUAAACCCCCAUCAUCUUUUUAAAAUUAUUAUUCAUUUCAAAGAAAAUUGAAGACUUGAAUCCACUUCUAAAACUUCGGGAUACACCCGGAUGUGGUGGCACAUGCCUGUGAUCCCAGCACACAACAGGCUGAGACAGGAAGAUCACAAGUCCCAGGCCAACCUGGGCUACAUAAUGAAAUCUUAUCUCAUAAACAAAUAAAUGUAUAAAACUGAAGUAUGCAUGUUAUUAGAGCUCAGUAUUUGUUUAUGGCUCUUUUGUAGUUUAAGGUAAAAUGUACAUACAAUGAGCUGUGCAGGUUUUAAGUAUUCAUUUGCUGAGACAAAGGCUUACUUUGGAGUAACCCACUUACUCCUGGUUGUCUUGUCAUCUCCUCUUCCUCCUCCUCCUCUUCUUCCUCCUUCUCCUUCUGUUUUGGGGAACCCAGGGCCUCAUAUGUGGUAAACAAGCACUCACUGUACCACUAAGCUACGCCCCCAGACCAGAAGCUAGAAUUUUUUUUUUUUUUUUUUGACACAGGGUCUUCCUGUGUUGUCCAGGCUGGCCUUGAACUCACUAUGUACCCCAGCCUGGACUAGAAUUUCCAGCAAUCUUUCUGCCUCAGCCUCCCAAGUGCUGGGAUCACAGGUGUGUGCCACCGCCUGGCUGACAAACUAGAAUUCUGAAGCACAGUCCCUGUUUUAUGGUUGACUGAUAGUACUUUUUCAGAUUUGGUAGAGACAUGCUUACAUUUUAAAAAUCUAGGCCAGUCAUUCCUGGGAGUGAGCUACUUCAUAUAUACCCAACUUUUUUUGGUAUCGGGGAUUGAACUCAGGACCUUGCACUUUCGAGGCAGGCGCCAGAACCACCGAGUUAAAUCCCUGGUCCAACCAGCUUAAUUAUUAACAGCAACCCAUUUACUCUCAAAGGUGUCCUAGUUUGGGCCAUCAGACAAGGGUCACCCUAUCUCUGAGGGAGGGGCUGUGAUGGGCAGCUCAGGAGGACAGAGGUCUUUCUGUUCCCUGGAGUAUCCCAGGCAUAGGGCUUGGUGUGUAAUAAUUGCUCAAUAAAUAUUAGUUGAGUUUGUAUUACCAAAAACAAAGGUCAGUUUAAAGGAAAACUGUAAACUGGGUGUGUUAGUGCAUGCUGUGAUUGCAGAACUUGGGAGGCUGAGGCAGGAGGAUCACCUUGAGUUUGAGGCCAGCCUGGGCUACACAAGGAGUUCCAGGCCAGCCUGGACUAUGUAGUGAGACUUUGUCUCAAAAAAACAAAAAAAAGCAAAAGGAAAUUUGUAGAUUCCAACAUAGAUAAUCUAUAGAAUCCUGUUUUAGUAUUUGUAUCACACCUUUGGUAUCCAAUAUGGCAGCCAUGGCUACCAGGAAGAAUAAAAUUAAAUGUACCACAUGUACUGUAUUUUUUGUCUGAUGGCAAGAAAUUAAAAGGUUAAAUAUGACUCAUAUGCUUAAAUAAAUAUGAUCGAGAAAAGGUUUGCAUUUUUUUCUAUCACUUGCAUCUAUAGCAAAGGAACUGCAUGAGAUCUUUGUUUCAUGAUUUUGAUAAUAAAAAGGGGCCACAUCAUGAAAUAAUAAACUAGGGGAGCCACGUGUGGUGUUCCGCUCCUAUAAUCCCAGCACUCUAGAGGCUGAGGCAGGAGGAUCACUGUGAAUUGGAGGCCAGCCUGGGCUACAUAGUGAGUUCAAGGCUAGCCUGGACUGCAUAGAGAGACCCUGUCUCAAACAAACAAAGAAACUACCUAAGGGAACCAGAUUUGGUUGUGAGAGGUGGGAGGGCUAACAGUUCUAUCCUUGAGGGACCCAGGGCACAUUCACACUUGGGAACAUGUUUACAUGGACUUAAAACAGCCUGGUUUUCAAAAACAAACUAAAGGACAACGAAGAACAAAAUGUUCCGAGGUUGCUUUUAUUCCAAGAACUCCGUGAGCUCUGCCUGGCCACCACCGCUGGCAUCG